UCACCGCCCUUGGGAUCCCGUCCUGCCUGGCGCGGCAGGACAUCCACGUGGGCUCCAGACCCCGGCCAGAGCACGGAGCGCGUGGAUUCACUUCGCACCACAGUCGCUUAAGGCGCUCGGCCACUUUGCCUCAUUUUGCAAAAGAGGACAAUAAUGGUUGCGAGAGCGCGCCAGGCCCAGCCACAAGGCAAAAGGUGGAGCUGGAGCAGGGCAGGGGGGCUGGGCACCUGGGUCCGAGAUACUGCAGUGGAAACUAAGGCCAGAACUCUGACUCCCGAGCCAAACACUGCUUCAGCCUAGGCCGCCUCGGCCUCCCGCUUCCUGAGCAGAAGACACUCCCGACAGGGCUCACAUGUUCCUGGCUGGAGAUUGAGUCCAGUCACCAACGGCCAAUGAUUUCAUCAUAUGUACAUAACGGAGCCUCUGCAAAAACCCAACAAGGAGGGCUCGGGAAGCACAUGACGGUGCUGCCCGCAUGAUGGGCGGUGGCGCAUCUGGAGAAGGCAUGGAAGCCCAGUGCCAUUCUUCGCUCCCUGCCUUCACCAUCUACCUCCUCCGGCUGUUGGGAGUGUUUUCCUGAGCACUAUAAACACCCACCCGCACCACGUCCUUCAAGAACAGGACCCUGACCCCUGCCUUGCCUUCAGCUCCUCACCUGGAACAUGGGACAAGGACAGCCAUCCCUGCUGGCAUCCCGGGCCUGUGGGAUUCCACUGGGCCUCAGCGUCCCCAUCCCCAUCAUGGGCACAGGGGCGGCCCCAGCGAGCCGGCCUAGUUGGGAGAAACAAUAAAAUA